rnacentral:rRNA from 1 species
GAUGAACGCUGGCGGCGUGCCUAAUACAUGCAAGUCGAGCGAACGGGCGAGACGCUUGCUUCUUUGAUGUUAGCGGCUGACGGGUGUGUAACACGUGGAUAACCUACCUAUAAGACUGGGAUAACUUCGAGACACCGGAGCUAAUACCGGAUAAUAUUUUGAACCACAUGGUUCAACAGUGAAAGACGGUCUUGCUGUCACUUAUAGCUGGAUCCGCGCUGCAUUAGCUAGUUGGUACGGUAACGGCUUACCAAGGCUACGAUGCAUAGCCGACCCGAGAGGCGGAGAGGCGACACGGGAGCUGAGACAUGGUCAAGGCGCCUACGGGAGGCAGCAGUAUGGAACCGGCCGCAAUGGGGGAAAUCAUGACGGAGCAACGGCGAGUGUGUGAUGAAGGUCUUGGGAUCGUAAAACUCGGUUAUUAGUGAAGAACAUAUGUGUAAGUAACUGUGCACAUCUUGACGGUACUGAAUCAGAAAGCCACGGCUAACUACGUG